UACGGGGGGAGCAAGCGUUGUUCGGAUUUACUGGGCGUAAAGGGCGCGUAGGCGGCCAGCGCAAGUCGGAUGUGAAAUCUCGGAGCUUAACUCCGAAACUGCAUUCGAUACUGCCGUGCUUGAGGACUGGAGAGGAGACUGGAAUUUACGGUGUAGCGGUGAAAUGCGUAGAUAUCGUAAGGAAGACCAGUGGCGAAGGCGGGUCUCUGGACAGUUCCUGACGCUGAGGCACGAAGGCCAGGGGAGCAAACGGG
rnacentral:rRNA from 1 species